rnacentral:tRNA from 1 species
GCCAGCAUGGUGGAGUGGUUUGAGUGCUGGACUAUGACUCUAGAGGCCAAGGUUCGAUUCCCAGCUCAGGCA